rnacentral:rRNA from 1 species
GUAGGUGGCAAGCGUUGUCCGGAAUUAUUGGGCGUAAAGCGCGCGCAGGCGGUCCUUUAAGUCUGAUGUGAAAGCCCACGGCUCAACCGUGGAGGGUCAUUGGAAACUGGGGGACUUGAGUACAGAAGAGGAAAGCGGAAUUCCAAGUGUAGCGGUGAAGUGCGUAGAGAUUUGGAGGAACACCAGUGGCGAAGGCGGCUUUCUGGUCUGUAACCGACGCUGAGGCGCGAAAGCGUGGGGAGCAAACAGGAUUAGAUACCCUGGUAGUCCACGCCGUAAACGAUGAGUGCUAAGUGUUAGGGGGUUUCCCGCCCCCCUUAGUGCUGCAGCUAACGCAUUAAGCACUCCGCCUGGGGGAGUACGGCCGCAAGGCUG